AUUGAACGCUGGCGGCAUGCCUUACACAUGCAAGUCGAACGGUAACGCGGGGCAACCUGGCGACGAGUGGCGAACGGGUGAGUAAUGCAUCGGAACGUGCCCAAGUAGUGGGGGAUAGCCCGGCGAAAGCCGGAUUAAUACCGCAUACGACCUACGGGUGAAAGGGGGGGAUCGCAAGACCUCUCGCUAUUGGAGCGGCCGAUAUCAGAUUAGGUAGUUGGUGGGGUAAAGGCCCACCAAGCCUGCGAUCUGUAGUUGGUCUGAGAGGACGACCAGCCACACUGGGACUGAGACACGGCCCAGACUCCUACGGGAGGCAGCAGUGGGGAAUUUUGGACAAUGGGCGCAAGCCUGAUCCAGCAAUGCCGCGUGCAGGAAGAAGGCC
rnacentral:rRNA from 1 species